rnacentral:rRNA from 1 species
UAAGCGGAGGAAAAGAAACUAACAAGGAUUCCCCUAGUAACUGCGAGUGAAGCGGGAAAAGCUCAAAUUUAAAAUCUGGUGGUCUUUGGCCAUNCGAGUUGUAAUCUAGAGAAGCGUCUUCCGCGCUGGACCGUGCACAAGUCUCCUGGAACGGAGCGUCGUAGAGGGUGAGAAUCCCGUCUUUGGCAUGGACACACCAGGGCUUUUGUGAUGCGCUCUCGAAGAGUCGAGUUGUUUGGGAAUGCAGCUCAAAAUGGGUGGUGAACUCCAUCUAAAGCUAAAUAUUGGCGAGAGACCGAUAGCGAACAAGUACCGUGAGGGAAAGAUGAAAAGCACUUUGGAAAGAGAGUGAAACAGUACGUGAAAUUGUUGAAAGGGAAACGCUUGAAGUCAGUCGCGUCGACCGAGACUCAGCCUCGCCUCGGCUUGGUGUACUUCUCGGCCCGACGGGUCAGCAUCAAUUUCGCCUCUUGGAUAAUGGCGAGGGAAACGUGACACCUUUACGGUGUGUUAUAGUCUCUCGUCGCAUGCAAGGGUCGGGAUUGAGGAACUCAGCACGCGCCUUUGGGCGUCGGGGCUUUGCCUACGAUACGUGCUUAGGAUGUUGGCGUAAUGGCUUUAAACGACC